UGCCAGACUCCUACGGGAGGCAGCAGUGGGGAAUAUUGCACAAUGGGGGAAACCCUGAUGCAGCAACGCCGCGUGAGUGAGGAAGUAUUUCGGUAUGUAAAGCUCUAUCAGCAGGGAAGAAGAUGACGGUACCUGACUAAGAAGCCCCGGCUAACUACGCGCCAGCAGCCGCGGUAAUACGUAGGGGGCAAGCGUUAUCCGGAUUUACUGGGUGUAAAGGGAGCGUAGACGGCGAUGCAAGCCAGAUGUGAAAGCCCGGGGCUCAACCCCGGGACUGCAUUUGGAACUGUGUGGCUGGAGUGUCGGAGAGGCAGGCGGAAUUCCUAGUGUAGCGGUGAAAUGCGUAGAUAUUAGGAGGAACACCAGUGGCGAAGGCGGCCUGCUGGACGAUGACUGACGUUGAGGCUCGAAAGCGUGGGGAGCAAACAGGAUUAGAUACCCCCGUA
rnacentral:rRNA from 1 species